UACGGGGGGUGCGAGCGUUGUCCGGAAUCACUGGGCGUAAAGGGCGCGUAGGCGGCCUGAUAAGUAGGGGGUGAAAUCCUGCGGCUUAACCGCAGGGCUGCCUUCUAAACUGUCAGGCUAGAGCACAGUAGAGGCAGGUGGAAUUCCCGGUGUAGCGGUGGAAUGCGUAGAGAUCGGGAAGAACAUCAGUGGCGAAGGCGGCCUGCUGGGCUGUUGCUGACGCUGAGGCGCGACAGCGUGGGGAGCAAACAGG
rnacentral:rRNA from 1 species